GACGAACGCUGGCGGCGUGCUUAACACAUGCAAGUCGAACGGAAAGGCCCUGCUUUUGUGGGGUGCUCGAGUGGCGAACGGGUGGGUAACACGUGAGUAACCUGCCCUUGACUUUGGGAUAACUUCAGGAAACUGGGGCUAAUACCGGAUAGGAGCUCCUGCUGCAUGGUGGGGGUUGGAAAGUUUCGGCGGUUGGGGAUGGACUCGCGGCUUAUCAGCUUGUUGGUGGGGUAGUGGCUUACCAAGGCUUUGACGGGUAGCCGGCCUGAGAGGGUGACCGGCCACAUUGGGACUGAGAUACGGCCAAGACUCCUACGGGAGGCAGCAGUGGGGAAUAUUGCACAAUGGGCGGAAGCCUGAUGCAGCAACGCCGCGUGCGGGAUGACGGCCUUCGGGUUGUAAACCGCUUUCGCCUGUGACGAAGCGUGAGUGACGGUAAUGGGUAAAGAAGCACCGGCUAACUACGUG
rnacentral:rRNA from 1 species